AUUGAACGCUGGCGGCAGGCUUAACACAUGCAAGUCGAGCGGAGCGAGGGUGCUUGCACCUUAGCUUAGCGGCGGACGGGUGAGUAAUGCUUAGGAAUCUGCCUAUUAGUGGGGGACAACAUUCCGAAAGGAAUGCUAAUACCGCAUACGCCCUACGGGGGAAAGCAGGGGAUCUUCGGACCUUGCGCUAUCAGAUGAGCCUAGGUCGGAUUAGCUAGUUGGUGGGGUAAUGGCUCACCAAGGCGACGAUCCGUAACUGGUCUGAGAGGAUGAUCAGUCACACUGGAACUGAGACACGGUCCAGACUCCUACGGGAGGCAGCAGUGGGGAAUAUUGGACAAUGGGCGAAAGCCUGAACCAGCCAUGCCGCGUGUGUGAAGAAGGUCUUCGGAUUGUAAAGCACUUUAAGUUGGGAGGAAGGGCAGUAAGUUAAUACCUUGCUGUUUUGACGUUACCGACAGAAUAAGCACCGGCUAACUCUGUGCCAGCCGCCGCCGUAA
rnacentral:rRNA from 1 species